rnacentral:tRNA from 1 species
GACUUGGUAGUUUAAAUAAGAACGAGAGUUUUGUAAACUUUUGGUACUAAUAAUUGGUUCUGGUCA